rnacentral:rRNA from 1 species
AUUGAACGCUGGCGGCAGGCCUAACACAUGCAAGUCGAACGAGUGGCGGACGGGUGAGUAAUGUCUGGGAAACUGCCCGAUGGAGGGGGGUAACUACUGGAAACGGUAGCUAAUACCGCAUACCAUCGGAUGUGCCCAGAUGGGAUUAGCUAGUAGGUGGGGUAACGGCUCACCUAGGCGACGAUGCCUAGCUGGUCUGAGAGGAUGACCAGCCACACUGGAACGGAGACACGGGCCAGACUCCUACGGGAGGCAGAAGGGGGGAAGAUUGCACAAUGGGCGCAAGUCUGAUGCAGCCAUGCCGAGUGUAUGAAGAAGGCCUGCGGGUUGUAAAGUACUUUCAGCGAGGAGGCGUUACUCGCAGAAGAAGCACCGGCUAACUCCGUGCCAGCAGCCGCGGUAAUAC